GUCGGGCCGGCGGGCAUGCCCGGGCCUGGGGCGCCCGGUCCGGCUGGGGCGUUCAAUCCGUUCGGCCCGGCG
rnacentral:tRNA from 1 species